UAGCUCAGUCGGUAGAGCAUCAGACUU
rnacentral:piRNA from 8 species